CAGCAGCCGCGGGAAAACGGAGGGUGCAAGCGUUAAUCGGAAUUACUGGGCGUAAAGCGUGCGUAGGUGGUGGUUUAAGUCCGUUGUGAAAGCCCUGGGCUCAACCUGGGAAUUGCAGUGGAUACUGGGUCACUAGAGUGUGGUAGAGGAUAGUGGAAUUUCCGGUGUAGCAGUGAAAUGCGUAGAGAUCGGAAGGAACAUCUGUGGCGAAGGCGACUAUCUGGGCCAACACUGACACUGAGGCACGAAAGCGUGGGGAGCAAACAGGAUUAGAUACCCGUGUAGUCCCUGUCUCUUAUAC
rnacentral:rRNA from 1 species